rnacentral:lncRNA from 1 species
CACUGCAGAGGCAGAGCUAGUAAUUACAGCUCCCUUCUCUGUUCAAUCUCUGUUAUCAUCACCAGCAUCAUCAUCAUCUUAACUACCACGUCAUGAAUGUUACCGGGUACCAAGCAAUUUAAACACAAGCCUGGAAGCCUAGAAGGAAGACCUGCAAGAGGGUAUUGUUAUCUCCAUUCAUCAGAUGAAAAAGUUGAGACCUAGAAGGCCCCUUCCACUGGGAGGUCUUAUUUGCUUGCUGACUUUCCCCAACAACUUUACUGAUCUUUGUGUGCCUGGCCCUGGAGUGAGCAUGGGGCAUCCAGAAAUAACAAGACAUGAUCCCUGCGUCGUCCAGUGAAGACUAUGACAGACAGAUGAUCACCACAUCACCACGUGACACUGUGCAGGGUCCAGAGGAGGCACUGCUCUGCC